CCUACGGGUGGCAGCAGUGGGGAAUAUUGGACAAUGGGCGAAAGCCUGAUCCAGCCAUGCCGCGUGUGUGAAGAAGGCCUUCGGGUUGUAAAGCACUUUCAGUGGGGAAGAAAGCCUUGGGGCUAAUAUCCUCGAGGAAGGACAUCACCCACAGAAGAAGCACCGGCUAACUCCGUGCCAGCAGCCGCGGUAAUACGGAGGGUGCGAGCGUUAAUCGGAAUUACUGGGCGUAAAGCGCGCGUAGGCGGUCUGAUAAGCCGGUUGUGAAAGCCCCGGGCUCAACCUGGGAACGGCAUCCGGAACUGUCAGGCUAGAGUGCAGGAGAGGAAGGUAGAAUUCCCGGUGUAGCGGUGAAAUGCGUAGAGAUCGGGAGGAAUACCAGUGGCGAAGGCGGCCUUCUGGACUGACACUGACGCUGAGGUGCGAAAGCGUGGGUAGCAAACAGGAUUAGAUACCCGAGUAGUC
rnacentral:rRNA from 1 species